rnacentral:lncRNA from 1 species
AUGCUUAUUGUUGUUAUCAUUGCAUAGAUUCAUUCAUUUGUUUAAUGUUAUCCGUUCUGUAUUUUUGUUAUUUUACUCUCGACUACUGACAAAACUAUAAAUGUUAUACCCAAGCUUUAUUUACUUGUGUCUGUCCACAGAUAAUGAUAUUUUUAGGUAUGUGGUUGUCGCUGGUUGUCGACUGUCUUCGUUUAGUGUCAUAAGCUACGAUUAGGGCGCAAUCUUUCUCGUUUAGAAAUCUUUUCACUAGCACUAUUUUUAUAGAGUUUUAA